UCAUAAUAUCAAUCUCAUAAGAAUUGCGAACUAUAGUUUUUAAAAUUUUUCUAUAAGUCAAGACAUCAAUAUCUUCAAUCUCAGUUAUUUUGUUGACGUGAUUUUUCAUAUUUUAUCCUGUUCAUCUACUUUAUUAAAAUAUCAAGGUACUUUUGAAUUUGAGUUAAUUUUUUAUUUUACUUUAAGUUUGGCUCAAUAAAUAAAAAAUUUUCAGCAUUAUAUUAAUCUCAACAAAUUUUACAUUUUAAUUUAGUGGCUUAAAAUUUUUCUUAGAAUAUAAGUUAGUGGAGAAAAAAAAAUUGUACAGAUCUUUAUGUUUACAAUUAAUUUAAGAAGAUUUAAUCUUCAAUUUUUGCAAAACAAUAAAUAGCCAUGUUAUUGAACCACUGCCAUGCGUAAUAUUUUUGUAAGGAUCACGUAUUACAUUGUUAGAGUUUGCGAACUCCAUUUUAUUUUUUAAAAAAAGGUAUGAUUUGUCCAUUUGUGGGCAAACUCCAUUUCUUUUUUAAAACAAAAAUUAGGAUUUGCCCAUUUAUGGGCAAAUUUCAUUUACUUUUUGUUAUAAAAAAUCGUCUUUGUCUAUAUAAAACCUUAAUUUUUAGUUCUUAUAAUUUUAUGUAACUUUUUAACAAUUUUUUCAUAUUUGUUGAGAAUUUACCAUCCGUUUGUUUUUCAGAUAUGAAUUCUUUAUCUAAAGACGUAUGUCCGAGUCAUAAAUAUAUGAUGUGUUAACACUUCAAUUAGGUUAUCAUUCUUAGGUUGUUUGAGAUGACCAAUUAAAUGAACAAACAGGGUGUUUAAAGAUUCGUCGAGCGGAUAAUGAAUUUUGAAAUCAUAUUAAGGAGCAUCCUUUACAUCCCAAUAUUCUUAAUUACUUUAAUUCAUGGAGAUUUAAAGGAGUGUUAGAUGUGGGAAACAUCAAGUGUGAUUCGGAACUUAUUACUACACUUGUUGAACGAUGACGUCCAGAAACAUACAUAUUUCACAUGCGUAUUGACGAGUGUACUAUCACAUUGCAAGAUUGGAGGUACUGUUCGGCAUGAAUAUUGAUGGUGAGGUCCGGCUUCAAGAAGAUGCCAGAUUAUAUAGUAGCAUUUAGUGGAUGAAUUUAUUAGAAAAUAUAACUGGUUUGAUAGUUCCACAAAAUUAUCUUAAAGGUAGCUUGUUAUGCGUGAAAGAAUUAGCUAACUAUAUGAGUAAUAUAAAUAAUUUGAAUUUGAUCACAGAUGAGACUGAAGAAACUGUUGUGCAACAAAGAGUAAGAUUAUACCUAUUGUGGUUGUGUGGGUGGUGUUUUUUUCAUUAAUUCAGGUAACAAGAUAAGCUUAGAUUAUCUACUAGAUAUGCGUGAUUUUGAUGCAAUGACCAGACAGGCUUGGGGAGCGGUCCCUUUUGGAUAUUUAUAUAAUUUUUUAUGUCGGGCUUUGAUGGUCAUUGUCCAUCAUAUAUGCGGAUUUGUUCCACUCUUAUAGGUAUGCAAUAUUUUAACAUAUACAAGCUUUUUUUUGAAGCUUUAAUUAUAAUUUUACGUCAUCUAUGUUGGUUAAGUUUUGAGCUUGGAAACGGAUUAUCCCUGUGCAAUCACGUUACAUUUCCUUAGAUGGCACAUACAUGAUACUUGCACAGAAAUGAAAAUAUUGAGAGAAGUGGCAUAGUCGGGCGCGUAAAGUGCUUGUCAUAUGUAGGGAUGUUUUGGAUGGACUUAACGAUACUCAGUUUGUGUGGCAGCCUUAUUUGAAUGUCGCUAUUUAUGGACUUUUCGAAUGGUGCUGACGUGGAUUUAAUAGUUGAAGGGAAAAAGUUUCACUCAUUUGUGGGAUUUAUCGAAAAUAGCAUAUGGUUGAUCCAGUUUUGAGACAAAUUGGAUCAUCGUGCACUGCAUCAUUCGUAUCAACGGUUCACAUUAUUCAACAAGAUCCCACAACAACGGAUCUGAUUAGACAAAAAAUAAGUGAGAUUGUUGGUUAUUCUGUGGGAGAUUUAAAUACAGCUGCUCAGAGAUCUAGAUUGACUUCAAAAUUUGAACUAUACUUGUUGAAAGGAUAUGAAGACCCAUCGAUAGUGUCAAUACGACCUCAACAUCGGGCUACUAGAGUUAGAGAACGUCGGGAUGGUGCUAACCUACGUGAUGAGGAUGAAGUUGGUUUAGAUCAACAACAAGAAGAGGCUAACUACGGUAAUCAAAGUUCAUAUUAUCUAAUUAUGGAUAUCAUGAGGCGGACAACUCAUCACAAGAUUGGUGACAAGGAGGUCAUGAAGGGCAGAAAAAUAAUUAGAUAACUUUUGUAAUAUAUAUGUUAACUUUUGAUAAUAAUAAAGUUCUUAAGAAAAUAUCUUCCAUCAAACAUAUGAUAAAAUAA